CAUCCGAUUAUUUUUUUAGUUUAUUUUUUUUUAAAUUGCCAAACAUUACCUAAAAAUAAUUUUAAAUAUAAAAAUAUCCAAUUAUUGCUAUAGAAAUACUUCAAUAAUGGCUGGUGAAGUCAGCCAGAGAUUUCCACAGAAAAAUAUUUGUAAAAUUUGCCCAUUCAACCCUUUGAAAAAGUGCAAAAUGUACAGAAAUCUUUUAUUGUCAUAUCUUUUAGUAAUCACAAUGGUUUCAAUGAACAAAAUAACACUUUAUAUAUAAAUUGAACAUUAAUAUAGGUAGAUAGGUAGAAUUUGGUCUGUGUAGAACACCUGAGGCACCUCAGUUGAUUUGGGAAAGUUGAAAGAAUUUCAGUUAGGCCAGAAAAAUUUAAAAUCUAAAACUUUUGGUGAAUUCUAAAUCAGUCAAUUAAACUGCAUAGCUCUUUCAUUGAUAUUUUAUUUUCCAAUAUAUGAUAAAACAUUCCAUGUUUCCAAGAUGAACUUUUUUCUUGCAAUAAGCAUUGAUUCAAAAUGAAAUAUCUACUAAAGAGAUAGGCUAAUCAGUUUCAUUUAAUUAAAUAUCUAAUAAACAGAUAGGCUAAUCAGUUCAGUUUAAUUAAAUAUCUAAUAAACAGAUAGACUAAUCAGUUUCAUUUAAUUCAAUU